rnacentral:lncRNA from 13 species
CGCCUGUCUACUAACCACCGGUCCUGGAAACGAUCAUUACGCACACCUGCUCUCAAUUAUUACGCACACCUGGACUUCAACAUCACCUUGAUUACCUUCCCUUUAUUUAGCCCUCAGUAGCCUCAGUCAUCAGGCAGCAUUGGUUUGCUUUCAUGUUCAGUACACAUCUCCUGUUUUGUUCAAUUGCUAUUACCACUGGUCAUCACAGUGAGCCAGUCCCCCAGCCUACCCAGUCGUCCGCCCAGGUCAGCGAUGCCCGACUGUCCCUUCCGGAGAAGGAGUGGGCUACGGCCGUCUGGGAGAGAAGAGAGGAGGAGCUGGGUUCCUAUGAGAGGUUCAUGGCUCUGUUCAGGGCGGUCGACAACCAUCCUCCAGAUGGCAGAGAGGGAAGUGAGCGACUUCUCCGACUCCAGCAGGGUGCCCAGAGCGCUGCGGAGUACGCCCUCACCUUUCGGACUGUGGCAGUCUCCAGGGGAUGAAAUGAGCCAGAGAGGACUGCGCAAAGAGGUCCAGACGGAGUUGGCCUGUCGGGAUGAGAACUUAUCCUUGGACUCAUUGCGUUGGCCAUCCAUCUGGAUAACCUUCUUCAGGAGCGCUGGUGCCCACCUCGCCACUCGCCCCCCUCCUUUGGCUAUCCUGAGGCAGAGCCUGAACCCACACCUCCUCGCGGCAGAGCGGCGUUGCCGGAGACAGCAGGGGCUCUGUCCCGAUUGCGGCCAGGAGGGGAAGCAACUUCAGCGGUUUCCGGUACGUCCCAACCCGGGGUCCACUAGGGCAGAGGGGCGGCCUCACGAUCUUCCGUCUCCCAAGGUAGGCGUGAGUAUUCCAUCAUCAUCGUUUUACGCUAAACCCUUUCUGGUUUCCAUUUCACUGGCUGGUGUUGUCUCUACGGCUCUGGUGGACUCUGGUACCGCAGGGAAUUUCAUCAACCUGGCCACCGUCUCCUCCCUGAACAUAACCUCGUACCCCUACUCCUCUCCUUUUCCGGUCCAUACCCUGGAUAAGCGACCAUUGGGAUCCGGCACAAUCACACACAUUACAGCACCACUCACCCUCACCAUGGGACCCAUGCACCAGGAAAGCCUUCCCUUCCUCAUCACUACUGCACCCGUAAACAAAGUAAUCCUCGGCCUCCCUUGGCUCCAACGUCACAGAUGUGACAAACAAAAAACAUCUGCUCCUGCUACCUGCCAUCCAGAACAUAUCUACGUCCAAAACCAAUACACAAAAUUAAUAAUGUGACCAAAUAUUUAGAACGAGAUCAUAAUUUCAUGGUCUGUGAAGGAAGAAACCUUGUAAAAGUGGUAAGCAAGUCCAAAAACCUGAUUUUCACAAAGUCAAAUGAAUUUAUUGGGUGAAAGUAUUGGUUUUCUAAAUUGUUUUCAAUUUUUGUAUAUAUAUAUAUCAGUUG